AGCAGCCGCGGUAAUUCCAGCUCCAAUAGCGUAUAUUAAAGUUGUUGCAGUUAAAAAGCUCGUAGUUGAAUUUCGGGAUCAAAGAAUCGGUCAUGCCUUGGUAUGUACUGGUUUUAUUGGUUCUCACCUUCUAAAGAACCAUGAUGUCAUUCAUUUGAUGUUAUGGGGAAUUAGGACUGUUACCUUGAAAAAAUUAGAGUGUUUAAAGCAAGCUUACGCUUGAAUACAUUAGCAUGGAAUAAUGAAAUAGGACAUCAGAUUCUAUUUUGUUGGUUUCUAGGAUCGAUGUAAUGAUUAAUAGGGAUAGUUGGGGGCAUUAGUAUUCAAUUGUCAGAGGUGAAAUUCUUGGAUUUAUUGAAGACUAACUACUGCGAAAGCAUUUGCCAAGGAUGUUUUCAUUAAUCAAGAACGAAAGUUAGGGGAUCGAAGACGAUCAGAUACCGUCGUAGUCUUAACCAUAAACUAUGCCGACUAGGGAUCGGAUGAUGUUUAAUU
rnacentral:rRNA from 1 species